rnacentral:hammerhead_ribozyme from 1 species
AUCCAGACGAGGAGUCCCAAAUAGGACGAAACGAGCAUCAUGGGU